CUGGGCUUGACAUCCCGAGAAUCCCCUGGAAACAGGGGAGUGCCCUUCGGGGAACUCGGAGACAGGUGCUGCAUGGCUGUCGUCAGCUCGUGUCGUGAGAUGUUGGGUUAAGUCCCGCAACGAGCGCAACCCUUGUCUUUAAUUGCCAUCAUUAAGUUGGGCACUUUAGAGAGACUGCCGGUGUUAAACCGGAGGAAGGUGGGGAUGACGUCAAGUCCUCAUGGCCUUUAUGCCCAGGGCUACACACGUGCUACAAUGGGUGGUACAAAGAGCAGCGAGCUCGCGAGAGUAAGCGAAUCUCAAAAAGCCAUCCUCAGUUCGGAUUGAAGUCUGCAACCCGACUUCAUGAAGUUGGAAUCGCUAGUAAUCGCGGAUCAGCAUGCCGCGGUGAAUACGUUCC
rnacentral:rRNA from 1 species